CUUUUAUGACAGCAAAAAUGCGGGAAGAAUACAGAGAUCAGAUACUGAAGGAGGAAGGACUUCAUAUAAAUGAUAUAAAGAAAAUGAUAGGAGAGAAGUAUAACCCCUCUUUGUGGGAGAAAAAGAAGUCGACCCAACACAGGACAUUAUCUCGUAGUUCUACACCUAUGUCAAGCAUGACCAAUCUCUCUCUCUCAUGUUCCUCAAUUUAUG